rnacentral:pre_miRNA from 1 species
UUUAACCGGUUUAAACGGUUUAAACCGGUUUUAAACGGUUUAAACCGGUUUAAAACGGUUUUAAACCGGUUUUAAAACCGGGUUAAACCGUUUAACCGGUUUAAACCGGUUUAAACGG